GCUCUACUAAUAACUCUCUCUAGAAUCGAUGGUAUAUUUAUGGCUACUAAAGAGGAUCUAGAAAGCUUCAAAUCCUUUCUACUGACCGAGCUUGACGCCCAUAAAUCAAGUCUCACAAGUUUAUUUAAAGAGUCUUCCGACUCGGCUGAACAAGCGCUAACCUUGUCGAAGCAGUUAAAAACCGAAUCCGAAGUCAAGCUCAUUCACCCUGGUAACCUACGGAACUACAAAUUCAAUCUCUCUGUCAAGGAGCAUCUCGAUAAAUCACUGUCAAGCCUGGCCUUAACCCCUACUGCUCCACAGACCGACGACGCGAUCUUUCAUAUAAAACAAGCCGUAUCGCUUAUCGAAGACAGAAAUCGUAAGAUCAGAAUUGCGGAUUCCUCUGAGGGUGGCUGGGCCACUGUUAAACAUUACGAGGGCUCGCCGGUAGCUAUCGAUCAGGAGGACGACAAGAAGAUUAGGGCCGCCGAGCGGGAAGCUUUGCGAGAAAAAACCAGAGCCAACAAGCACAAGUAUGCUGAGAAACCUUCAGGAAGAGGUCGCGGCGCUUUUGCGCCCUACAACAGGCCUUCGUUCGACCAGAGAGCCGGUUGGUCCGGUCGACAGCCAAGCUACCAGCAGUAUGGCUCCAGUUUUGGCCAACAGCGUCCCAACGAACAGCAGCGAGGAUCCUGUCGUUACUGUGGAGCCCCUGGGCAUUGGUGGAGGGAGUGCCCUGUGCGCAUCGCCAAAUCCUUCCCCCAGUUUGGUACUCCCGGCACAACAACAAGCUCCACGUCAGCCAGCCGCCAGUAGCCCUUCCUUUUUUAAGAACUUGGCUAGUGAAGUCAGUGAGGCGUUUUCUGGUUCUCUUACUACUUCAUGUGAUAAUUGCAUUGAUUGUGCUACACCCGACCAAGAGAUGCAAGCUUUGAUUGAAGAUAAGUCUGUUAUCAAUUAUGACAAUGAUACUGUCUUAGACUUUUAUAAGCGUAACUUGUAUGAAUAUGAAAGUGGUGUUACCCCACCUGUAGUUAAGGGUCGUCUUAAAGCUCAUGUUUAGUUUUGGAAGGAUAUUAACGCUCCUACUUGGAUUCUGGAUGUUAUUAAUAUAGGUUACUCUAUCCCGUUCUCCAGUUUGCCAACUAGGGUUCAUUUGCCUAAUAAUAAGUCCGCCCUUAGUGAUCCCACUUUCGUAUCUGAUGCUAUUGCAGAAUUGCUUAACUUAGGCUUAGUUGUUGAAGUUUUUGCUCCGCCGACUGUCAUAAAUCCUUUGUCUGUUUCGUAUAAUUCCGCUGGGAAACCUAGACUCCUACUGGAUCUUCGGCAUGUUAACAAGUGCAUUCCUAAGCAGAAGUUUCGCAUGGAAGAUUGGAAGUCAUUUAUUCAAAUUAUCGUUCAGAAUGGUUUUUUGUUUAAGUUCGAUAUGAAGUCCGGAUAUCACCACAUUGAUAUGUCGUACUCUUCUCAGCAAUAUUUAGGUUUACAGUGGCCUCUCGAUUCUAAUAUUAAUCGUUACUUUUGUUUUUCGGUUUUGCCAUUCGGAAUCUCUUCAGCUCCUUAUUUGUUUACUAAAUUUUUCCGUCCUUUAGUUCGCCACUGGCGCUCGUUGGGAUUUCGUACCGUUCUUUAUUUAGAUGACGGUAUUUUUUGCGAGAAAGAUUUAGUUACGGCCGAGCGCAUAGCUGAGGUUGUUCGUGCAGACUUAAUUCGCGCUGGUACUGUUCCUAGUUCCGAGAAAUCGGUCUGGCACCCUUCUCAAACGCUUGAAUGGCUCGGCAUUGUCUGGAACCUUGCGGAUUCGAGUAUUUCUAUCCCUCGACCUAGAAUUGAUAAGUUAAUUUCUUCUCUGCAAGAACUUAAGUCGCGUUUGCCUUUAGUUACACCUCGUUUUUUGGCCUCUUGUGUAGGUAAGAUAAUUUCACUUUCGCCUGUGGUCGGUAAUAUUGCCAUCAUUAUGACCAGAUUUUUGCAGUCUGCUGUUAAUUUUAGAGAGCUUCUCACAAUUCGGCCAAGUGUGCUAAGUUUUAUUUCAAGUUCUGGUGUCCGGGCACACAAGCGGUUGAUGCGUUUAGCGUCGAUUGGUCUCAUGACAACAAUUGGCUUGUUCCGCCUAUCUACCUCAUUCCACGCACGGUUUUUCAUUUAG